AUACUAUAAAAUCUUAUAAACUUAUUUUAAUAAAAGCAAAAUAACAUCAACUUCUUCUACCCACACAAAAUAAAAGUACUAAAAAGGAACAUAAAAUACAUUUAAGUAGUGAAGACUCACGUACCUUGUGCAUUAUGGUUUUACAAGCUCUUCAAUUAAAAAUACAUUCCCGAAUCCUACGCGAGCUGUCUUCGUAUAGUUUAGAACCCACCACUAGUUGUGACAUCAACUUUGGAAAAUACCUUGACAGAGGCUACAUACCAACCGCGCUAGAAAAUUGCUGGUUUUCAGUAAAACUUAUAAAUUAAAGCAUGUAGAACUCUACAAUGUAAAAUCACAGAGGAUAAGCCCUGUAAUUUCAAGCAAAACAUAUCAACUCAGUAAAAUAGGCCUAAAAACAGCCAUUCCUAAUACGUUACUGUAAAUAAUUCACAAUCCUCAUAUCUAAAUGCCACAACAAUCUGAAAUUUAAGAGCAAUCUAAAUCUUUUUAUAUUCUGUAAAAAUAAGUAUUCUGUAUUAUAAAUUUAUUUAACUAUAUUAAAUUAAAAUAAUGUCAAUUCUUAUAAAGGAACUCGGCAAAUCUUCUUUCGACUGUUUAACAAAAACAUUGCUUUCUGAACUCUAAUAGAAAGUAAUUCCUGCCCGGUGAAUACAAUUUUAACGGCCGCGGUAUCCUAACCGUGCAAAGGUAGCAUAAUCACUUGCCCAUUAAUUGUGGGCUAGAAUGAAAGGACUAACGAAAUAAAGACUGUCUCUAUAAGACACCUAAAAAUUAACCUCUAACUGAAGACUGUUAGAUUCCUUCGAAGGACAAGAAGACCCUAUAGAGCUUUAUUUUAAUAAAAAAUUAUCUUUUCCUAAAAUUCGGUUGGGGCGACCCGGGAAGUAUUAAUCAUCCCUUAUUUAUAGAUAAAUAAAUCAAACACUUGACCCUUUCUAAGAUCAUAAAACCAAGCUACCUUAGGGAUAACAGGCUAAUCCCACUAAAGAGUCCUUAUCAAUAGUGGGGAUUGGCACCUCGAUGUUGGCUUAGGGAACCCUUGCGGCGCAAAAGUCGUAAAUAGAUGGUUUGUUCAACCAAUAAUACCCUACAUGAGCUGAGUUCAGACCGGCGUAAGCCAGGUUAGUUUCUAUCCUCGAUUACAAAUCUAUUUAUAGUACGAAAGGACCUAAAUAAGAGUAACAUUUACAUUAAAAGAAUUCAUAUAACUUAAAUUAAAUUCUUAUAAAUAUAUACUAUG
rnacentral:rRNA from 1 species